rnacentral:lncRNA from 1 species
GGGCGGAGUUUAGCCGGUUCGAUCAUCAUAGAUCAGUCAAUCUAUAGACAGGUGUUUUAGGAUAAAUUCGUCAAUGAAGUGUCCAGUUAUUCGUCCCAUAUCAUACACUUAGUUCUUUUGAAUAUCCGUUUGGUGACAAUGAUUGGUGAUUAGAAAUCAAUAAUAAUUAUAACGGCAAUCAUCCUUAUCGCACACAUUUUCAAAUAGACUGUCCU